UUUACUUGAAAGGGUCCAGUUUAAGAAAUUAGCUCUAGUAUCAAAUAAUUUGUGAGUUAUAGUCGAUACUUAAGCUAAUUUCUUAAACUGGACCCUUGGAAGCGUCGAAUUUAUGAUAUUUUGUCAGCUGAAUAAAGAUUGCAGUAUUUUUCCUGGUAGUGUAUAUUGUAAGGAUGUGGAAUGUUUUCAAUUUACGAAUGGCAAAGUCCAGCACUCCGGUCGUAUUAUGCAUAUUCUAGGUAUAAUUUUAUUUAGUCAUUGUAUAAACUAAGUUCGAUUUGUGCGAGAAAAACAAUUAAUUAUGAAUAUUAUUUAAUCGGCUCCGUUCCUAUAGUGAUGCCACAAUAUUUUCCUAUGUUCAUUUGUAUUUAUAACGCCUAUAGAAAUAUAGUUUUAGUGGGUGAUACUUAUAUUAUGUACUUGCAAUAACUGAGGCGAUGCUAAUUCCGAUACGAUAAUGUAAAAGAAAAUGGUGGUCUAAGAAUGAUAUAUGAUUCGUUAAGGGUUCAUUCAUUAAUUACGUCACAACUUUAUGACGUCACAUUCAUAUUGACUUUUCAACCGUCGUUCAUAAUGUGGAAUUAUGAAAAAGAAUAUCCAAACUGCACUUCAUUAUUACUUAUAUAACAAAGUUUGAGGACUUCAAUUAAUUGUGAAGACAGCCUUGAAUAUAUACUUUUGACGUUUGCUAUAUAGAAAAAUGCAAAAAAAAAUUGAGGUUCACUUAAUUUUUUAAACGAAUGUGAGUCUUAAAAUGUAACAUAAUCAAUGAAUCGUACCCGAUUGACGUAUAAAGUUAUAUAUAACGUGCAAUAAUUUUAUUUCUAUGUAUUUAAAUUCAUUACAAUAGUUUUAAAAAUUAUAGUUUGUUUCAAUCGGAGUCCAGUUAAGGCUACGUAACCCUAAAAGACUGAUUGAAACAUCAUGUCGUGUGCUCGGCCCAUGUCAAUUUCUAUUGUAACUAUCCCGUUGACAAGUGUAUGGGAAUAUUAUUUUUGCUGCCCAUACGCUCUGUGCGCUUGCUGUGAAGGCAAAUCGAGUAGUACAAUCUGAAGUUGCAACCAUGGCGGUUUGCCCAGGUGAUAAAUCUAAGAUCAUGAUAUGGAUAGAGCACUCCCAAUAUUUACUCGAAUCAAAUACCUACUUAUCGCUAUCCCACUCUGACUGUCAAGCGAGAGCGAGAACAGAUACCACUGGGGUCCGACCUGUCGCUCUAAUUUGUUAGUCGAUCGUAUUUGCUUCAAGUAGGUAUUAAGAGCGCGCGUGAUCCACUUUUACAAUACAUUCAUGGCUGAAAUUUGUUUUUGUACAAUGCACCUGUUCAGAUUGGGCUACUUGUUUUGCGCGCACUAUGUCCUUUAGAAACCACGCAAAGUACAAACUUCGAUCGGUCGACCGUAUAGUGCCCGGCAAACAACUUGAGCAUUGACGCGAUUGGCUGGCGGGUGCACGCGAUUGGUUGAUCAGUCGGCGCGAGUGCACGCGAUUGGUUGAUACGUCGACUUCGCUUCCCGGAUUCGCUAACUUUCUCCCAAUACGCUACUUCAGGUCCAAAUUGUUUGCAGGGCACUAUACAUCGCAAGAAUCGCU